UGGGGAAUUUUGCACAAUGGGGGAAACCCUGAUGCAGCGACGCCGCGUGAUGUAGAAGGCCUUCGGGUUGUAAAAAUUUUUUGUACGGGAUGAAAAUGACAGUACCGUAAGAAUAAGGUCCGGCUAAAUACGUGCCAGCAGCCGCGGUAAUACGUAUGGACCGAGCGUUGUCCGGAAUCAUUGGGCGUAAAGGGUAAGUAGGCGGCCUAGUAAGUUAGAAGUGAGAUAAUAUAGCUCAACUAUAUAAAGCUUUUAAUACUGCUAGGCUUGAGAGAUGGAAGGGAAAGUAGAAUUCCUAGUGUAGCGGUGAGAUGCGCAGAUAUUAGGAAGAAUACCGGUGGCGAAGGCGACUUUCUGGUCAUCAUCUGACGCUGAGGUACGAAAGCGUGGGUAGCAAACAGG
rnacentral:rRNA from 1 species